CAGCAGCCGCGGUAAUACAGAGGAUGCAAGCGUUAUCUGGAAUGAUUGGGCAUAAAGUGUCUGUAGGUGGCUUUUCAAGUCCGCCGUCAAAUCCCAGGGCUAAACCCUGGACAGGCGAUGGAAACUACCAAGCUGGAGUAUGGUAGGGGCAGAGGGAAUUUCCGGUGGAGAGGUGAAAUGCGUUGAGAUCAGAAAGACACCAACGGCGAAAGCACUCUGCUGGGCCGACACUGACACUAAGAGAUGAAAGCCAGGGGAGAAAAUGGGAUUAGAUACCCCCGUAGUCCCUGUCUCUUAUACA
rnacentral:rRNA from 1 species